CUCCGUCAACAACCAUCCUCAUUUCUAUCAUUAAAACUAACUAUAUUACCCCAUUGUUUCCAGACUUAUGAAUCACCCUGUACGGAGAAUAAACGACGUCCUUAUACGGCUAACUGGACGCAAUAUAAACAUCACUAAGUCGAUCGGUUUUUCUCAAAAAUACAAAAUAAUGGAUUGUACGUAACUUUCCUUAAGGGGACAUCUCUCUGAAUUGUGUAUAUGGGUGAUAGAAUUGAAUAGCCUAAGAAGUUGAGCUGUUUUCCUUUUAUCUAACUAUUUCUGGAUUCUUCUCCUUUUCCGGACAACACUAAGUUCUCAAAAAUACAAAAUAAUGGAUUGUACGUAACUUUCCUUAAGGGGACAUCUCUCGGAAUUGUGAAUAUGGGUGAUAGAAUUGAAUAGCCUAAGUUAAUUCAGCUGUUUUCCUUUUAUCUAACUAUUUCUGUAUUCUUUUCCUUUUCCGGACAACACUAAGUUCUCAAAAAUACAAAAUAAUGGAUUGUACGUAACUUUCCUUAAGGGGACAUCUCUCAGAAUUGUGUAUGGGUGAUGGAAUUGAAUAGCCUAAGAAGUUGAGCUGUUUUCCUUUUAUCUAACUAUUUCUGGAUUCUUCUCCUUUUCCGGACAACACUAAGUUCUCAAAAAUACAAAAUAAUGGAUUGUACGUAACUUUCCUUAAGGGGACAUCUCUCUGAAUUGUGUAUAUGGGUGAUAAAAUUGAAUAGCCUAAGUUAAUUCAGCUGUUUUCCUUUUAUCUAACUAUUUCUGCAUUCUUCUCCUUUUCCGGACAACACUAAAUCCUCGAAAAUACAAAAUAAUGGAUUGUACGUAACUUUCCUUAAGGGGACAUCUCUCGGAAUUGUGUAUAUGGGUGAUAAAAUUGAAUAGCCUAAGUUAAUUCAGCUGUUUUCCUUUAAUCGAACUAUUUCUGGAUUCUUCUCCUUUUCCGGACAACACUAAGUUCUCAAAAAAUACAAAAUAAUGGAUUGUACGUAACUUUCCUUAAGGGGACAUCCUCUCGGAAUUGUGUAUAUGAGUGAUAAAAUUGAAUAGCCUAAGUUAAUUCAGCUGUUUUUCUUUAAUCGAACUAUUUCUGGAUUCUUCUCCUUUUCCGAACACUAAGUCCUCGAAAAUACAAAAUACUGGAUUGUACGUAACUUUCCUUAAGGGGACAUCUCUCUGAAUUGUGUAUAUGAGUGAUAGAAUUGAAUAGCAUAAGUUAAUUCAGCCGUUUCCCUUUUAUCUAACUAUUUCUGGAUUCUUCUCCUUUUCCGGACAACACCAAAUCCUCGAAAAUACAAAAUAAUAGAUCGUACGUAAUCUUCCUUAAGGGGACAUCUCUCGGAAUUCUGUAUGGGUGACAGAAUUGAAUAGCAUAAGUUAAUUCAGCCGUUUCCCUUUUAUCUAACUAUUUCUGGAUUCUUCUCCUUUUCCGGACAACACUAAAUCCUCGAAAAUACAAAAUAGUAGAUCGUACGUAAUUUUCCUUAAGGGGACAU